UACGAGGGGUGCAAGCGUUGCUCGGAAUUAUUGGGCGUAAAGGGUAGGUAGGUGGUCUCAUUUGUCUGGGGUGAAAGCCUUGAGCUUAACUCGAGAAGUGCCUCAGAAACGGUGAGACUAGAGUUCUGGAGAGGGUCGUGGAAUUCCCGGUGUAGCGGUGAAAUGCGUAGAGAUCGGGAGGAACACCAGAGGCGAAGGCGGCGUCCUGGACCAACACUGACACUGGAUGAGCGAAAGCCAGGGGAGCAACGGG
rnacentral:rRNA from 1 species